GUGGGUAUGGCUCAGCGGUAGAGCGCAUGCCUAGCACAUACAAAGUCCUGGGUUCAAUCCCCAGUACCUCCA
rnacentral:tRNA from 1 species